AUUGAACGCUGGCGGCAGGCCUAACACAUGCAAGUCGAGCGGAUGAAGGGAGCUUGCUCCUGGAUUCAGCGGCGGACGGGUGAGUAAUGCCUAGGAAUCUGCCUGGUAGUGGGGGAUAACGUCCGGAAACGGGCGCUAAUACCGCAUACGUCCUGAGGGAGAAAGUGGGGGAUCUUCGGACCUCACGCUAUCAGAUGAGCCUAGGUCGGAUUAGCUAGUUGGUGGGGUAAAGGCCUACCAAGGCGACGAUCCGUAACUGGUCUGAGAGGAUGAUCAGUCACACUGGAACUGAGACACGGUCCAGACUCCUACGGGAGGCAGCAGUGGGGAAUAUUGGACAAUGGGCGAAAGCCUGAUCCAGCCAUGCCGCGUGUGUGAAGAAGGUCUUCGGAUUGUAGAGCACUUUAAGUUGGGAGGAAGGACAGUAAGUUAAUACCUUGCUGUUUUGACGUUACCAACAGAAUAAGCACCGGCUAACUUCGUG
rnacentral:rRNA from 1 species